UACGAAGGGGGCUAGCGUUGCUCGGAAUCACUGGGCGUAAAGCGCACGUAGGCGGAUUGCUAAGUCAGGGGUGAAAUCCUGGAGCUCAACUCCAGAACUGCCUUUGAUACUGGCGACCUUGAGUCCGGGAGAGGUGAGUGGAACUGCGAGUGUAGAGGUGAAAUUCGUAGAUAUUGGGAAGAACACCGAGGGCGAAGGCAGCCAUCUGGACCGACACUGACGCUGAGACGCGAAAGCGUGGGGAGCGAACAGG
rnacentral:rRNA from 1 species